CAGCCCGACCUGGCGGGAAGGGGAGGGCCGGCUGGGGACAUUUCCACACUUGAGCGCUUCUCUGUUGCUUUGGUUUUUUUCUGUCUCAUCCCUCAAUUUCCAGUGGCUUCCAAAAGAAGUGCUUCCCCACUGGCAGUCAGGAACUUUCUUUCUUUCCUUUCUUUUCUUUCUUUCUUUCUUUUGACAGAGUCUCGCUGUAUCACCUAGGCUGGAGUGCAAUGGCGCAAUCUCGACUCACUGCAUGAGGGGGACAGUCAACAUUUGAUAAAUGUAUGAAUGAAUUUAUGGAUGAGGGAGGGAUAGCCUUCAAUGGAGGGCAGUGGAGGGCUGUGCUUGUCGGGGUCCUGGAGCAGUUACAGAGGUGCCUGGGGAGUGAAGAUGGCAGAUGGCAUCACUGCCUGAUGGCUGAGAGCCAGAGCAGUGUCGGGUGCUGGUACCCCUCCCAGGUCAGCCUGCAGGUCGGCACGUCAUCUUUCCUGACAGAUUAAUGAGAAGCCCCUC
rnacentral:lncRNA from 1 species